GAUCUGGCUCAGGACGAACGCUGGCGGCGUGCUUAACACAUGCAAGUCGAACGAGAAUCUGCGGAACGAGGAUUCGUCCAAGUGAAGCAGAGGACAGUGGCGGACGGGUGAGUAACGCGUGAGGAACCUGCCUUUCAGAGGGGGACAACAGUUGGAAACGACUGCUAAUACCGCAUAACACAUGGGUGUCGCAUGGCACUGAUGUCAAAGAUUUAUCGCUGAAAGAUGG
rnacentral:rRNA from 1 species